rnacentral:rRNA from 2 species
GUGGGUAGUUUGACUGGGGCGGUCUCCUCCCAAAGCGUAACGGAGGAGCACGAAGGUUAGCUAAUCCUGGUCGGACAUCAGGAGGUUAGUGCAAUGGCAUAAGCUAGCUUGACUGCGAGCGUGACGGCGCGAGCAGGUGCGAAAGCAGGUCAUAGUGAUCCGGUGGUUCUGAAUGGAAGGGCCAUCGCUCAACGGAUAAAAGGUACUCCGGGGAUAACAGGCUGAUACCGCCCAAGAGUUCAUAUCGACGGCGGUGUUUGGCACCUCGAUGUCGGCUCAUCACAUCCUGGGGCUGAAGUAGGUCCCAAGGGUAUGGCUGUUCGCCAUUUAAAGUGGUACGCGAGCUGGGUUUAGAACGUCGUGAGACAGUUCGGUCCCUAUCUGCCGUGGGCGCUGGAGAAUUGAGGGGGGCUGCUCCUAGUACGAGAGGACCGGAGUGGACGCAUCACUGGUGUUCGGGUUGUCAUGCCAAUGGCACUGCCCGGUAGCUAAAUGCGGAAGAGAUAAGUGCUGAAAGCAUCUAAGCACGAAACUUGCCCCGAGAUGAGUUCUCCCUGAGACUUUAAGUCUCCUGAAGGAA